rnacentral:rRNA from 1 species
GAUGAACGCUAGCGGCAGGCCUAAUACAUGCAAGCCGAACGGUAAGAUUUGUAGCAAUACGAGUCCUAGAGUGGCGUAAGGGUGCGUAACACGUAUGCAAUCUGCCCGCAACUGGAGGAUAGCUCGGGGAAACCCGGAUUAACCCUCCAUAAGAUCACACAAUGGCAUCAAAGAGUGAUUAAAUCUCCGGAGGUUGCGGAUGAGCAUGCGGUUGAUAGCUAGUUGGUAGUGUAACGGACUACCAAGGCAAUGAUCAAUAGGGGAACUGAGAGGUUCGAACCCCCACACUGGCACUGAGAUACGGGCCAGACUCCUACGGGA